UACAGAGGUCUCAAGCGUUGUUCGGAUUCAUUGGGCGUAAAGCGUGUGUAGGCGGAUGGGUAAGUAUCUUGUGAAAUCCCACGGCUCAACCGUGGAACUGCUCGGUAUACUGCUCGUCUUGAGCCAACUAGGGGCGACCGGAACAAACGGUGGAGCGGUGAAAUGCGUAGAUAUCGUGUGGAACGCCGAUGGUGAAGACAGGUCGCUGGGGUUGUGCUGACGCUGAGACACGAAAGCCAGGGGAGCGAACGGG
rnacentral:rRNA from 1 species